UGCGUAGGCGGAAUAUUAAGUCAGUGGUGAAAUCCUGCGGCUCAACCGUAGAACUGCCAUUGAUACUGAUAUUCUUGAAUGUAGUUGAGGUAGGCGGAAUGUGUAAUGUAGCGGUGAAAUGCUUAGAUAUUACAAAGAACACCGAUUGCGAAGGCAGCUUACUAAACUAUGAUUGACGCUGAGGCACGAAAGCGUGGGGAGCGAACAGGAUUAGAUACCCUGGUAGUCC
rnacentral:rRNA from 1 species